rnacentral:lncRNA from 13 species
GCCCAGGUAUCAAACCUGGUCAGUGAGUAUGAGGAUGCUGUCCAGCGGGCCAGGAGACUGGCUGUUUCCAGGGAGAAGGUCCUGACAGGGCGGGGCAACCCCAUUAACACGGUCACCCAGGAAGAUGUGACCAUCUACCUCACCUGGCUGGUCUGUCACCUGCAUGCCUCCAAGACCAUCCACCACUUCCUGACAGUAAGGCCAUCAGAGAGACUAUGGGCAAUGUUUUUGUAGCACAAAAGUGAUGUGUUAAGUGCAACAUUUACCGUAAACCUCAUUGGAAUCUGGCACUGUGAAAUAAUUGUAACAAUGUGCAUUAUAAGGAGGAGAUUAAGCAAUAUAUAAAUAGUUGCCUCUUUGUUGAAAUGCACAUUGUUGAAAAAAAGUUUCAAAUUAAAUCUCGUUGCCAGAUUACAAUGAGGUUGAUGGUACAAUUUUCACUUAACACAUCACUACGUUGCCCUAUAUGUAUGUCCCAAAUCUAAACUUGUUCACUAUAUAGUGCACUACUUUUGACCAGGGAUCAUAGGACUCUGGUCAAAAGUAGUGCUCCAGGGAAGAAGGUACCAUUCAGGGUGCAUCCUAUGGCUGCAUCUCAAUGGUCUAAAAGUGGCUUCCUCUACUCGUCUCCUCUCCUUCAUCGCCAUGUAGCUGAAAUUAAAGGCUAGUUUAGAUUAGAGCAGAUAAAGACUACUGAGAUGCACCCCAAAGCUUGGUUGACUUUUGGGAUGGGUGGAUGAAUACCUUGUAAUAGAUUUAUUUAGAAAUAAGACCGUUUGUUACCUCACACUAUAUGAUGGGUUACAGGUGAUCCACUACAUCCCAGCCUCUGAGAAGAGGGAUAAAGAGUUAUUAAGGAAGUCCCCAUCAAUUUCCCCAGUGCUGGUUGAAUGUGUCCACACAUCUUCAGAAGAUAAAGACCAAGUCUUGGCUGGGCUUGAGGGGAUGUUUAGACUGGCUAACCAAGUUCCCAUGCACAUUGUGAAACUGGAGGAGUUCCUCCCAGAACUACAAAGCCUGGUCUCCUACUUCCGUUUGCCCUACGACACCCAAAACAUCAGGAACACUGCAGACGAGAUGGAGCUCUUCAGCAUGAUCUCAAAGGAGUUCAGGGUGAUCUUCAGACAGCAGGAGGUGAUGAAGACCUUCCUCCAGUAUGAUGGGACAGAGGCUGUAGAGGGACAGUGGGGGACGAAGAGGAGCACCAUGGCUCUGAGGAAGAGUGCUAACUGGAUACCAUACAUUCAGGUGAAGCCCAAACGGGAUCCCUGGCAACAGAAACUUGUCACCAAGCUGAAGGAGCUCCAGUCUUAUGAUGAGUUGCUGAGGACUCACUGCAGGUUUCUCCAGCUGUCAGAUCCUGCCGUAGUGACUGAGGCCCUGAGGGAGCAUGCUUCCCAGGUAUGUGACCCUCAGGCCAUCCAGCCCUCAUCAUCUCUGACAUCGUCACACACCAACAGACACAACACCUUGCAGAUCUGGACCAGCAUUUACAGCGCUGCCAAUCUUUAUCAGGCAUGUAUUACCUAGUCAGAGAUGUGAUUAUGUGUGCUACAAAGACAACAUGCUUUUUCAUCAUGUAAAAUGGAUUGUGUCUGGGUUCAUUCCAACCACAAUUAGCAUUUUAUCCCCCUGCUAGGAAUCCAGUGGAUGUGGAGGACAGGAAAAAAGCAACACAAAGAGCAGAACCACUUCAGUCAAGAAAGUAAAUGAAAGGUACAUUAUUAAGAAGGACAGAUUAGGAUCACUUGGGAUGUGGGUCUCAUUGAAAUAAAACGGAAUGCCUUUUGCUUAUUUGGUGUCCCUUCUCUCUCAUUCAUCCCA